rnacentral:rRNA from 1 species
UACGUAGGGUGCGAGCGUUGUCCGGAAUUAUUGGGCGUAAAGAGCUCGUAGGCGGCUUGUCGCGUCGGAUGUGAAAGCCCGGGGCUUAACUCCGGGUCUGCAUUCGAUACGGGCAGGCUAGAGUUCGGUAGGGGAGAUCGGAAUUCCUGGUGUAGCGGUGAAAUGCGCAGAUAUCAGGAGGAACACCGGUGGCGAAGGCGGAUCUCUGGGCCGAUACUGACGCUGAGGAGCGAAGGCGUGGGGAGCGAACGGG